GGCUAAGACAGCUAGGAGGUUGGCUUAGAAGCAGCCACCCUUUAAAGAAAGCGUAAUAGCUCACUAGUCGAGUCGGCCUGCGCGGAAGAUGUAACGGGGCUAAGCAAUAUACCGAAGCUGCGGCAGCAGACAUCACUUAAGAUUAUUUGUUUAUUCAAGCUAACAGCAACGUGACGUUUUUUGUCACCUGCUGGUAAAGCGUUUUUCGAAACGUCGAGAGAUGUGAGGAGAUAAAGAUAAGUAAGUGGUUUUAAGGAUGUCUGCUGGGUAGGGGAGCGUUGUGUAAGUGGCUGAAGGCAAGCUGUGAGGCUUGCUG
rnacentral:rRNA from 1 species